rnacentral:rRNA from 1 species
GGAUCCAGACUUUGAUCCUGGCUCAGGAUGAACGCUAGCUACAGGCUUAACACAUGCAAGUCGAGGGGAAACGACAUCGAAAGCUUGCUUUUGAUGGGCGUCGACCGGCGCACGGGUGAGUAACGCGUAUCCAACCUGCCCACCACUUGGGGAUAACCUUGCGAAAGUAAGACUAAUACCCAAUGAUAUCCCACGAAGGCAUCCGAAUGGGAUUAAAGAUUUAUCGGUGAUGGAUGGGGAUGCGUCUGAUUAGCUUGUUGGCGGGGUAACGGCCCACCAAGGCGACGAUCAGUAGGGGUUCUGAGAGGAAGGUCCCCCACAUUGGAACUGAGACACGGUCCAAACUCCUACGGGAGGCAGCAGUGAGGAAUAUUGGUCAAUGGGCGAGAGCCUGAACCAGCCAAGUAGCGUGCAGGACGACGGCCCUAUGGGUUGUAAACUGCUUUUAUAAGGGAAUAAAGUGAGUCUCGUGAGACUUUUUGCAUGUACCUUAUGAAUAAGGACCGGCUAAUUCCGUGCCAGCAGCCGCGGUAAUACGGAAGGUCCGGGCGUUAUCCGGAUUUAUUGGGUUUAAAGGGAGCGUAGGCCGGAGAUUAAGCGUGUUGUGAAAUGUAGAGGCUCAACCUCUGCACUGCAGCGCGAACUGGUCUUCUUGAGUACGCACAACGUGGGCGGAAUUCGUGGUGUAGCGGUGAAAUGCUUAGAUAUCACGAAGAACUCCGAUUGCGAAGGCAGCUCACGGGAGCGCAACUGACGCUGAAGCUCGAAAGUGCGGGUAUCGAACAGGAUUAGAUACCCUGGUAGUCCGCACGGUAAACGAUGGAUGCCCGCUGUUGGCCUGAAUAGGUCAGCGGCCAAGCGAAAGCAUUAAGCAUCCCACCUGGGGAGUACGCCGGCAACGGUGCAACUCAAAGGAAUUGACGG